rnacentral:lncRNA from 1 species
AAAAAACCAUGAAGCCCUGAGAGUAAUGAAAAGCUUCCUGACAUUGAGGUCACUGUGGAAGAUCAGAGGAUCAGAGAUCUCUCCUCUACACGAGGUGCCAUCCUUUCCUGAAGGAGAUCCUUGUAAAGUGCAUGAGGUGUUCCUUUUGGUAAAAAGACACACUGCGCAACCACAGAGACCUGAGCCUGAACCUAUAAAGAUUUGAACAAGAUCAGCGGCAACAUCAGAUUCUCAUGUGAGCACGAACCGUGUAGUGAACUGUGCAUGCAAGGGAUCUACCUUGCUCUGUCCUUAGGAGAAUCUAAUGCCUGAUGAUCUGUCACUGUCUCCCAUCACCCCCACAUGGGACCAUCUAGUUGCAGAAAAACAAGCUAAGGCCUCCCACUCAUUCUACAUUAUGCCUUAGCCGAGAUGUCUCACCCCACUCUCUAUGAUGCAACAAGAAGCCCCUGGGGAACGUUUCAGUCCCAGUCUGUACUAUUGUCAUGUGCUCAUCACAGUCUGCAAGCCAUUUCUUCAACAAGGAGAAAU